rnacentral:rRNA from 1 species
AGGACGAACGCUGGCGGCGUGCCUAACACAUGCAAGUCGAACGGGGAUUUGUUUCGGCAGAAUCCUAGUGGCGAACGGGUGAGUAACGCGUAGGCAACCUGCCCUCCGGCCGGGGACAACACUCCGAAAGGGGUGCUAAUACCGGAUACGAAGUCUGUGCCGCAUGGUACGGAUUUGAAAGAUGGCCUCUAUUUAUAAGCUAUCGCCGGGGGAUGGGCCUGCGUCCGAUUAGCUGGUUGGUGGGGUAACGGCCUACCAAGGCGACGAUCGGUAGCCGGUCUGAGAGGAUGAACGGCCACAUUGGGACUGAGACACGGCCCAGACUCCUACGGGAGGCAGCAGUGGGGAAUCUUCCGCAAUGGGCGCAAGCCUGACGGAGCAACGCCGCCGUGAGUGAGGAAGUUCUUCGGAACGUAAAGCUCUGUUGUUCCUGACGAACCUCCCCUUUAUCAACAACGGAGGGGACUGACGGUAGGGAACGAGGAAGCCACGGCUAACUACGUGCCAGCAGCCGC